AUUAUCAAUCAAAUAUACCUUUAAUCAAUUUUUUAUGUGCUGUCUAUAGAUUUAAGCCACAAAUCCUGUUAACAUUAACUAAUCUGAGACGAAACAGAACCGAAAUUAAAGAAAAUAAAAGAAAAUCAAACGGAAAAGGAAAAAAAAACUAAUGGUGCUAAAAAAAAAACUCUUUUGGUUUCAGAACCUUUUUCUCUCUCUUUUUUAAUUGGUGGUUUCAGAAUUUUCAGUGAAUCUAAGAAAAAUUAAGAUACUUGGAUCAAGUAUGGUACUGAGAUCCAUACCAGGUAGGUUGUAUAGUUACUGAUCUUGUUGAUAAAAAGAGUUAGUAAAUAUGCUAUGACUGGUAAACAAUUGAAAGUAAAAAGUGGGAGAAAGCAGGAGAAAAACUAUAU
rnacentral:lncRNA from 1 species